CAGCAGCCGCGGGAAUACCGAGGGUGCAAGCGUUAAUCGGAAUUACUGGGCGUAAAGCGCGCGUAGGUGGUUUGUUAAGUUGGAUGUGAAAGCCCCGGGCUCAACCUGGGAACUGCAUCCAAAACUGGCAAGCUAGAGUACGGUAGAGGGUGGUGGAAUUUCCUGUGUAGCGGUGAAAUGCGUAGAUAUAGGAAGGAACACCAGUGGCGAAGGCGACCACCUGGACUGAUACUGACACUGAGGUGCGAAAGCGUGGGGAGCAAACAGGAUUAGAUACCCCGGUAGUCCCUGUCUCUUAACA
rnacentral:rRNA from 1 species